rnacentral:rRNA from 1 species
UACGUAGGUGGCAAGCGUUGUCCGGAAUCACUGGGCGUAAAGCGCGCGCAGGCGGCGAUCUACGUCUGGGGUGAAAGCCCGGAGCUCAACUCCGGGACUGCCUUGGAUACGGGAUCGCUUGAGGAUUGGAGAGGCAAGGGGAAUUCCACGUGUAGCGGUGAAAUGCGUAGAUAUGUGGAGGAACACCUGUGGCGAAGGCGACUUGCUGGCCAAUUUCUGACGCUGAGGCGCGAAAGCGUGGGGAGCAAACAGG